GAUGAACGCUGGCGGCGUGCCUAAUACAUGCAAGUCGAGCGAACAGACGAGGAGCUUGCUCCUCUGACGUUAGCGGCGGACGGGUGAGUAACACGUGGAUAACCUACCUAUAAGACUGGGAUAACUUCGGGAAACCGGAGCUAAUACCGGAUAAUAUAUUGAACCGCAUGGUUCAAUAGUGAAAGACGGUUUUGCUGUCACUUAUAGAUGGAUCCGAGCCGCAUUAGCUAGUUGGUAAGGUAACGGCUUAUCAAGGCAACGAUGCGUAGCCGACCUGAGAGGGUGAUCGGCCACACUGGAACUGAGCCACGGUCAAGACUCCUACGGGAGGCAGCAGUAGGGAAUCUUCCGCAAUGGGCGAAAGCUUGACGGAGCAACGCCGCGUGAGUGAUGAAGGUCUUCGGAUCGUAAAACUCUGUUAUUAGGGAAGAACAAAUGUGUAAGUAACUAUGCACGUCUUGACGGUACCUAAUCAGAAAGCCACGGCUAACUACGUG
rnacentral:rRNA from 1 species